GACGAACGCUGGCGGCGUGCUUAACACAUGCAAGUCGAACGGUGAAGGGGUCUGCUUUUGUGGGCCCUGGAUGAGUGGCGAACGGGUGAGUAACACGUGAGUAACCUGCCCCCUUCUUCUGGAUAACCGCAUGAAAGUGUGGCUAAUACGGGAUAUUCUGGGUCUGUCGCAUGAUGGGUCUGGGAAAGAUUGCGCCUUUGGGUGUUUUUGGUGGGGGAUGGGCUCGCGGCCUAUCAGCUUGUUGGUGGGGUGAUGGCCUACCAAGGCGGUGACGGGUAGCCGGGCUGAGAGGGUGGACGGUCACACUGGGACUGAGACACGGCCCAGACUCCUACGGGAGGCAGCAGUGGGGAAUAUUGCACAAUGGGCGCAAGCCUGAUGCAGCGACGCCGCGUGAGGGAGGGAGGCCUUCGGGUUGUAAACCUCUUUCGCCAGUGAAGCAGGCCUGCUCCUUGUGGGUGGGUUGACGGUAGCUGGAUAAGAAGCGCCGGCUAACUACGUG
rnacentral:rRNA from 1 species